CACAUUUAGAAACACUACUGACUUUUUCAGCUUUGAAAAGACACUGAGGUUUAGAGAUCAAGGAUUUGUUCAGGACCCCACAGCCUUGUGGCAUUUUAAAUUAUACCUGACAUCAAGUACUGAGCGCUUUUCCCAAAAUUUCAAAGUCGUGGUGGUAGAUGGUAAAGAUGAAAGUGAG